rnacentral:pre_miRNA from 1 species
AGUUGUUAAUAGCUCGGUGAUGGAGAAUUACCCUUCACCGGGAGGUUAAUAUGCUUU